rnacentral:rRNA from 1 species
AGUGAACGCUGGCGGUAGGCCUAACACAUGCAAGUCGAACGGCAGCACAGUAAGAGCUUGCUCUUACGGGUGGCGAGUGGCGGACGGGUGAGGAAUACAUCGGAAUCUACUUUUUCGUGGGGGAUAACGUAGGGAAACUUACGCUAAUACCGCAUACGACCUACGGUUGAAAGCAGGGGAUCUUCGGACCUUGCGCUAUUGAAUGAGCCGAUGUCGGAUUAGCUAGUUGGCGGGGUAAAGGCCCACCAAGGCGACGAUCCGUAGCUGGUCUGAGAGGAUGAUCAGCCACACUGGAACUGAGACACGGUCCAGACUCCUACGGGAGGCAGCAGUGGGGAAUAUUGGACAAUGGGCGCAAGCCUGAUCCAGCCAUACCGCGUGGGUGAAGAAGGCCUUCGGGUUGUAAAGCCCUUUUGUUGGGAAAGAAAAGCAGCAGGUUAAUACCCCGCUGUUCUGACGGUACCCAAAGAAUAAGCACCGGCUAACUUCGUG